UACGUAGGGCGCAAGCGUUGUCCGGAAUUAUUGGGCGUAAAGGGCUCGUAGGCGGUCUGUCACGUCGGGAGUGAAAACUCAGGGCUUAACCCUGAGCCUGCUUCCGAUACGGGCAGACUAGAGGUAUGCAGGGGAGAACGGAAUUCCUGGUGUAGCGGUGAAAUGCGUAGAUAUCUGGAGGAACACCGGUGGCGAAGGCGGCGUUCUGGACUGCAACUGACACUGAGAGACGAAAGCCAGGGGAGCAAACGGG
rnacentral:rRNA from 1 species